GACGAACGCUGGCGGCGUGCUUAACACAUGCAAGUCGAACGGAAAGGCCCUGCUUUUGUGGUGUGCUCGAGUGGCGAACGGGUGAGUAACACGUGAGUAACCUGCCCUUGACUUUGGGAUAACUUCAGGAAACUGGGGCUAAUAUCGGAUAGGAGCCCCUGCUGCAUUGUGGGGGUUGGAAAUUUUCGGCGGUUGGGGAUGGACUCGCGGCUAAUGAGUUUGCUAGGGGGGUAGUGGCUGACCAAGGCUUUGACGGUUAGUCAACCUGAGAGGGUGACCGGAGUCAAUGGUCCUGAGGGAGGGAGCAGAUGGCUAUGGGAGGCAACAGGGGAGAGUAUUACGCAGUGAGCCCGAGGCUGUUGCAGCAACGCCGGGUGCGGAAUGACGUGUUUCGGGUUGUAAACAGCUGUAGCCUGAGACAAAGCGUUAGUGACGGUAAUGAGUAAAGAAGCACCGGCUAACUACGUG
rnacentral:rRNA from 1 species